CACGUAGGAGGCGAGCGUUAUCCGGAUUUACUGGGCGUAAAGCGCGUGUAGGCGGUUCGGUAAGUUGGAUGUGAAAUCUCCUGGCUCAACUAGGAGAGGUCGUUCAAUACUGCCAGACUAGAGGACGGUAGAGGAAGGUAGAAUUCCCGGUGUAGUGGUGAAAUGCGUAGAUAUCGGGAGGAACACCGGUGGCGAAGGCGGCGACCUGGGUCGAUACUGACGCUGAGGUGCGAAAGCGUGGGGGAGCAAACAGG
rnacentral:rRNA from 1 species